rnacentral:lncRNA from 1 species
AAGGAGGAUGCCCUGUGAUGGCAUAGUGGAGAGUAAUUGUUGACUGUUGCCUCCCAUAGUGAUGGGGCAGGGAUAGACCUAAGUCCUCCCUGCUGUUGAACAUAGCAAACAAGCUGCCCAUUUGAUUCCAGAUGUUUCUUCCCCCCAUUCCUUCCUAAACUUCCUUUUUUAAAAAAACAAAAGCUAUGGGACCUCCCAGGAGCAAAUGACAGCAUGGAUUUCUCUUUCUCCUGAAAACCAGGACAUUGAGUUUAUGAGCUGUUCAGUUGAAAAUGUCUGGCAUCUGGAAAAGAGAAUUGUUACUGGAUACCUCCAUCUUGAUAACCUUAAAUAUUCACUUAUAAGAGAUCAUUUUCAGAUAAGGAAACUGAGGCUAACAAAGUUGCAUGAUUUGUCAAGGCACCCAGAGCUAGUAAGUAUCCCCCAAGACUGUAUUAGUAUCAUGCUUAUGAAUCUUCAGUGGCUCCUCAAGGCUAUCAACCCUUAUCAAGCCCUUCACAAUAUGAUUACAGCCUGCUCUUCCAGACUUAUUUCACAUAAUUCCCUUUCUUGCACUAUGAUGUCCAGGCAAAUUGGUCUAUUUGUUGUCCCAAAAGUUGAUAUUCCAUUUCCUGUUCAUAUGCCUUGGCAUAGACUGUCCCUCAUGCCUAAUGUACUAUGUGUACUUCCUUCUACCUCUCUGAAAACUUAGCUUCCUUCAACACAUGAUACAUUUUUAAAAGUAUUUCUUAAGCACAUACCAUGUGACAAAAACUCUUCUGAGUUCUGGGGAUACAGAUUAAAAGAGCAAAAUCAAUCUCUGCAUUCAAGGAUGUUACAUUCUAAUUAGAGAAAACAUCACAUAUAGAAAAGUGAUGGCUCGAAAGGGGUCAUUUGGUUCUGAAAAUUGCUGGGAAGAUGAAUGAGGUCACAGAAGGUAGAUUGACAUGCUCUGUCCAAGAUCAGUAGCAAGAGUUGAUUUGAUUAUGGUUUGUGGCUCAAGACCUGGAGCUGGGAAUGGAGCAAGAAGGCACGCAGGAGGUAAAAAGGCAGUUGGAAAGGCUAUGGUGAUGGUCAGAGAGUUGAGGGCGAAGUAACACAUGACUGGGGCUUUCCCAAAAGUGUUCUGGAAGGGACAGUAAUCAACAAUAUUAUCAGAGUGCCUUGCAGCAGUUCCAUUGAAAAGACUAACCUUUCUAGGGCAGGCUCUCUGCUGUAGGCUGUAGGGCAGGCUAUUGGCAAGGUAGUGGAAGAGUAGGGAGAGUAAGCUUAUCUCACAUGUCAAUUCAUCUGGGAAGCCCUCCCAGGUUGUUAAUGCUUUCUGUGGCCUCAAAUUAUCAUGAAUGUACUUAUAUGUUUACAUGUUAUAUCCUUAGCAAAAUAUAAGUUCCUUAAAGGUGGACUAUUUUUUUAAGAGGAUCAACAGCAUUUCAGAGUGAUGACUUUACUUGUGAGUUAACUGGAUUUAAGUGAGUCAGAGUUGCACGAAGUUAACAGUCUCACUCUCUUUUCCCAAUCAUCAAAGUCUGGUGGCAAGACAAGAGUCAAGAUGAUUGGUAAUGGUCCAGGAUGCAGAAGAUGACCUUGGAGUCUUCAAUGUCUGACCAAGCUCUAAG